UGAGGAAUAUUGGUCAAUGGACGCAAGUCUGAACCAGCCAAGUAGCGUGCAGGAUGACGGCCCUAUGGGUUGUAAACUGCUUUUAUAUGGGGAUAAAGUGGGGAACGUGUUCCCUUUUGCAGGUACCAUAUGAAUAAGGACCGGCUAAUUCCGUGCCAGCAGCCGCGGUAAUACGGAAGGUUCGGGCGUUAUCUGGAUUUAUUGGGUUUAAAGGGAGCGUAGGCCGUUUGGUAAGCGUGUUGUGAAAUGUAGGAGCUCAACUUCUAGAUUGCAGCGCGAACUGUCAGACUUGAGUGCGCACAACGUAGGCGGAAUUCAUGGUGUAGCGGUGAAAUGCUUAGAUAUCAUGAAGAACUCCGAUUGCGAAGGCAGCUUACGGGAGCGCAACUGACGCUGAAGCUCGAAGGUGCGGGUAUCGAACAGG
rnacentral:rRNA from 1 species